rnacentral:lncRNA from 1 species
AGAGGCGCCGGAAUCAUCCAGCCGUCCUCCUCGUCAAAGUUAUGGGCAAUUUGACCUGCCAUUUAGCUGUUUCCUGGAGCCGGUUGAAUGGUUCUUAGGGCCGUUUCUACCUUGAAGACAACACAGGGCUCCAGGAUAAGAAACAUCAGAAGCCUCAACAGGAGACUGCAAAUUCUUGGCUAUUUAAUUGGAGCCUUUUGCUGCUCUUGAAACCAGCUGGAGAGAAGGAGCAAGCGAAGAGCUUGAAGAGCUGGUCUUUGAGUCAGAGCUAAGUAUAGCAUAGCCAAGUGCUUCAUCUCCCCACUCACCAUAUCGCUGUGGAUUUUGAAGGAGGUUGGCUCCAGGGAGAAAAUAUUUAAGGCUGGAGAAAUAGUUUUCUUCAGUUUGUCUUCUGUGGAUGCAAAGCACAAAUGUUACGCUGGUUCUUACUGAUUAACGUGCUAACAAGUUAAACAGUUUUUCAGUGUCCAGCCUCGCCUCUUCUCAUGGCCGCUGUGCACACGCUGGGGGGCCACUGUGGGGAGGCCAUGCCCGAGGCAACCAAGCUCCCAUCCUGGCCCCUGGUUCCCAGGAUGCACUUCUUUCUCUGGGUAUCAUUGGUAUCUUCUUCAGGCUGUCUCUGUAUCCUGUCUUUCCUCAUCCACGUCUGUCUUUCUUUGAACUCACCAUGGGUCGUUCCCUCUUGGUGUGUUUUCACUUGAGAUCCCACACUGAACACCUAGACCCAGAGCUCAAGGAGUUUGUAAUCUGGACUUUCCAGAUUGUUCAGUGUCUGCCAGUGGCUGGUGAAGCUUGUGGCUGUCAGAUCUGCAUUGGUUGCUGUCACCCCGAGGAUUUGAGAAGGAAAGGGAAGCAGUGCUUUUGGUGACCUAUGUUCUCAAGAACAUAAAACCUUGGUAACUGCUUCAUGCUAGGCCGGGCGUCUCAACCCAAGGCAGAGAAACAUCUCUAUGGGAUUUUUGAAGACAAACAGACAUGUGAGCCAUGAAUUUUCUCCUCCACUUCCUUAUACUGGACAUAACUUUAAACCAAGAAACAAGUUUUGGUUCUGCUGUACCCUUGCUAUGACCACCACCUGGAAUAUUGGUUUGGACCCAUCCACUCAGCCCAAAGGAUGGAGGAGGAAGGCCAGGACUGACUCAAGGGCACGGCCCUGCCAGGUUGGAAAUAUCCAGUAUCAUCUGAGAAGCCAGACCCAUUUAUGGGACCAAGUAGCUGGAAGAAAGGAAGCAGAAGAAAAGACCUUGAUCCUGACCGUGAAGGCACAGUUAGCCACUUCAGAUGAGACCCCCUUAGAGCUUCACUGUCUAACGUGGAAGCCACUAGCCACACGUGGCCACUGAACAUUUGAAAACAUGGCAAGUCUGAAGUGAGGUGUUCCGUAAGUGUAUAAUACGAACCUGAUUUUGAAGACUUAGUACAAAAGAAUGUUAAAGUACCUUAUUUAUCUUUCAUCUAUUGCUUAUUUGCUUAAAUGAAAAUAUUUUACAUAUAUUGGAUAAAAUAAAUCAUUAAAAUUAAAGUUACCUGUUUUUUUU